CGCUCAUUGUCUGUCUUCCUCACAGAUGCCUCUAAAAGUCAUUUGGGGUUGGGGCAGUGUGGCUGUGUGUG
ensembl:miRNA